rnacentral:rRNA from 1 species
AGGGGGACAACAGUUGGAAACGACUGCUAAUACCGCAUAAGCCCACGGUACCACAUGGUACAGUGGGAAAAGGAGAAAUCCGCUGAAAGAUGGACUCGCGUCUGAUUAGAUAGUUGGUGGGGUAACGGCCUACCAAGUCGACGAUCAGUAGCCGGACUGAGAGGUUGAACGGCCACAUUGGGACUGAGAGACGGCCCAGACUCCUACGGGAGGCAGCAGUGGGGAAUAUUGCACAAUGGGGGGAACCCUGAUGCAGCGACGCCGCGUGAAGGAAGAAGGUAUUCGUAUUGUAAACUUCUGUCGCAGAUGACGAAAAGAUGACGGUAAUCUGUAAGAAAGCACCGGCUAACUACGUGCCA